rnacentral:lncRNA from 1 species
UCAGAUUUAGUUGAGCUGAAAAAUCAGAAAAAAUACCAAGAGACUAAAUAGCUAAGAAAACAUUGUUCCAUUGAAGAAUUGGUUGAUCCUUGAAACUCUCAUUUCUGAAAUCAUUUAGGGAUAAUCAUUGGUUAAACUGUCUUGAUUUUUGUUGGUUUGCAAGGGCUCUUGGUUCAAUUUUGGGUUGUGUUUGAUUACUGAACAUUUUUUGAGGGUCCUGGUGGUUUGAACUUGCUUCAAAACUGAUUUUUCCUUGGGAAUUUCUGGGCUAACUCUGUUGUUGAUCCUUGAUACUGCUUUGCUGAUACUUCAUUUCUGCUUUUUGUCUUCAAUUUCCAGAUACACAUCUCCUAAAACUAUGUAAUCUGAUACUAGAAUUGAAAAAUGAAAUGAGGGAAUGGAAGUUUUGGAAUUUCUGAAGAACAAUCUUUUAUACUG